ACAGAACUGGCGAUGUGGGAUGAACCAAACGUAAAGUUAAAGUGCCUAAAAAUACGUUCAUCAGACACCACAAAGGUGUUGAUUCAUCUUGACAGUUGGACAGUGGCCAUGGAAGUCGGAAUCUGCUAAGGAGUGUGUAACAACUCACCAACCGAAUGAAUUAGCCCUGAAAAUGGAUGGCGCUUAAACGUAUUACUUAUACUUUACCAUUAAAAUAAAUGCUAAAUUUUAAUGAGUAGGAGGGCGUAUGGAUAAUUUAGAAGAUUAACAGUGAUGUUGAUUGGAAUUAUCUUUAGUGCAGAUCUUGGUGGUAGUAGCAAAUAUUCAAUAGAGAACAUUGAAGACUGAAGUGGAGAAAGGUUUCACAUGAACAACACUUGGAUGUGAGUUAGUCGAUCCUAAACGGUGGGUUAACUCCAAAUACAUGGAUACUUGUAUCCUGUACCGUGAAAGGGAAACAGGUUAAAAUUCCUGUACUAUAUCAAGGAGGUAAAGUGGUAACACAAAUAAACCCAAAAUACAUCAGUAGAAUAACCAGGAAG
rnacentral:rRNA from 1 species